rnacentral:lncRNA from 1 species
ACGCCGCACCAGGUAUCGUACGCUAGGACGAGAGAGAGGGAGAGAGGUUCGGUUAGGGAGGUUCCGACCGCGGGGAAAUGGGUGGAGGACAAUGGUUUUCUUGGGGGAGGAUGAGGACUUUGCCAGAGCUCUUCAUUAAAAGCUACUUCCUGAAAGGAGCUAGGAGCCAAAUCUGUGAGCCGACAGGCAUAUACUCUAAGCCCCCAUCAUACUCCCUUCCUGCUCCUGGCUUCAAAUAUGGAACGGUGUCUCUGAGAGGCGGGGCACCCGGCGCCCCUCCGGGCCCGUAAGCGACCCCCGCCCGGCAGCUCCGGAGGUGGGGUCGGAGUUGGGUGAAGGCUGACCCACACGCAAAGGGCCAGGCUCCGAUCGAGCUGCCCAACACCCACUGGCCGGGCCCCGCAGACUCAAAGGGCGACCACAGCAGCCCAGAAAGGGAACACAGGCAUCUGGGACCGAAACGUCUCAUAAUUUCUUGGCGGGUCUCCAGCCUAGUGGCAGCUUAAAAUAAACUGGCAUGAAAUGGGGUCGUGGAAGAGUUCAAGAAUUAAUUGGGUGAAAAAUAGUAUUUGACUAGAUGAUCGGGCUCGCAUGGCUGCUCUUCAGUCAGACCGGGGAGUGGGGAAGACAAUAGUGCGCCUCAGGUCCUCAUCCCUGGCCCCUCUUCCCAACCUGCCCCUCAUUAACCCUUCCCUCUGACAUCUUGGGUCUGGAGCAGGCAAAGGUAAAUGGAAUCAAGCACCUUUCCUCUGAGUCACAACUGAGGGUGGAGGUGCUGCUGGAUUUUCCUUCUUUUCCAGGCUGUUCUCAAACCCCUCAAGGUCUACCUGCUGCCUUCGGGGUUCAACUUCCAGCAAGAAGCGUGGGAAGCAGCCCCAUCCCCACUAAGCCCCCAAGCGGAGUGGUGUGGUGAGCCCAGCACGAAAUCCCCUUCCAAUCUCUCAAAGCAAACCUCUCCAAGCACUCGCUUACCCUACCCUGACUGGUGCCUCCAGCUUCGCACAGGUGUUGGAGGCGAUAAGGAGAGUGACAUCCAUUAAACCUGAGGCACAACAGAGCCCCAGCGGGGAGAAGAAACAGCCUGACGUCGGUAAGACAUGUCACAGAUGGAGUUCCAGUGACAGACAGGAAAUCAGUGCAAAAGCGAAACCCUAAUAAUACCUGGCGGAUAAAGAGCUA